rnacentral:tRNA from 1 species
GGCCCGUUGGUCAAGCGGUUAAGACACCCCCCUUUCACGGCGGUAACACGGGUUCGAAUCCCGUACGGGUCA